GAUGAACGCUGGCGGCGUGCCUAAUACAUGCAAGUCGAGCGAACAGAUGAGGAGCUUGCUCCUCUGACGUUAGCGGCGGACGGGUGAGUAACACGUGGAUAACCUACCUAUAAGACUGGGAUAACUUCGGGAAACCGGAGCUAAUACCGGAUAAUAUAUUGAACCGCAUGGUUCAAUAGUGAAAGACGGUUUUGCUGUCACUUAUAGAUGGAUCCGCGCCGCAUUAGCUAGUUGGUAAGGUAACGGCUUACCAAGGCAACGAUGCGUAGCCGACCUGAGAGGGGGAUCGGCCACACUGGAACUGAGACACGGUCCAGACUACUACGGGAGGCAGCAGUAGGGAAUCUUCCGCAAAGGGCGAAAGCCUGACGGAGCAACGCCGCGUGAGUGAUGAAGGUCUUCGGAUCGUAAAACUCUGUUAUUAGGGAAGAACAAAUGUGUAAGUAACUAUGCACGUCUUGACGGUACCUAAUCAGAAAGCCACGGCUAACUACGUG
rnacentral:rRNA from 1 species